GGAGGGGUGGCAGAGCGGUCGAAUGCGGCGGUCUCGAAAACCGUUACGGGCCGUUAGGUCCGUCGAGGGUUCAAAUCCCUCCCCCUCCG
rnacentral:tRNA from 1 species